rnacentral:rRNA from 1 species
AGUGAACGCAGGCGGUAGGCCUAACACAUGCAAGUCGAACGGCAGCACAGUAAGAGCUUGCUCUUACGGGUGGCGAGUGGCGGACGGGUGAGGAAUACAUCGGAAUCUACUUUUUCGUGGGGGAUAACGUAGGGAAACUUACGCUAAUACCGCAUACGACCUACGGGUGAAAGCAGGGGAUCUUCGGCCAUUGCGCGAGUGAAUGAGCCGAUGUCGGAUUAGCUAGUUGGCGGGGUAAAGGCCCACCAAGGCGACGAUCCGUAGCUGGUCUGAGAGGAUGAUCAGCCACACUGGAACUGAGACACGGUCCAGACUCCUACGGGAGGCAGCAGUGGGGAAUAUUGGACAAUGGGCGCAAGCCUGAUCCAGCCAUACCGCGUGGGUGAAGAAGGCCUUCGGGUUGUAAAGCCCUUUUGUUGGGAAAGAAAAGCAGCAGGUUAAUACCCCGCUGUUCUGACGGUACCCAAAGAAUAAGCACCGGCUAACUUCGUG